AAGGACCUGAAAAGUAAAAAGUUUCCAAAAAUUAUGAAAAAUUUGAACUAAACAAAAGUAAAAACUAUAGCAAUUUUGGAAGCAAUAAAGUGGGAAAUGAUUUCACAGUACUGCACCAUAUUAUGCAAUGCACAUUAUCAUCAGCACAUGAAAAAAUUUAAUUAAUGAUUCCCCCUGGCAGUGUUUGAAAUGACCUGUAGUAAGUCAGUGUACCUACCAUUAUCAAUGCCACAGCAAUGGCCACUCCCCCUAUGACAACUGCAUGCUGCUCCACAAACUCAACAGCCUUCUUGUAGCAGCCAUCUGUGUAGGAGUUAUCUUCAUUUGGUGAUGACUGGCAUUCCUGUAACUAUAGACAUGAAAAGAGUAAGCAGUUGCCUUAAUCUCAAUUACUUAUUCAUUUUUCUUACAAAAUAAUCUAUACAUAUACUGGGAAUAAAAUGUGAAAGUUUCCUAGUGCCAAGCAAAACAAUAAUGUACAUACAGCUAUCUUAUGACUGUUUGUAGAGGGACUUGAUUACUACAGUACAAACAUUUUGCAAAGACUUACAAAUUCUGGAAGUAUGCUACUGUAAUAAAACAAAAUGAAAAAAAGAAAUCAGACUUAGUCAUAAAAUUUACAACACACCAAUUCUCUUACAUUUCCAUCAGAGUCCUUCUUACAACAAGUCUUGGGGAUUUUGACACCCCCCAUGGAGAAACCAUCAUUGUAAUUCAUCCAUUCAUCCUGCUUUUCAAUAGCACAGCACUGCAUCUGUAAAGGAAAAACAGUGUCAGUGCAUAAGAAAAUGAUGAGUGUGGUACCAUUUACUAUUCUACACACUGCAGCACAAACUUUGUUAACUUUCAUGUAGUGACUCAGCAUGCAAGAGGUCCAUUCGGUUGGCCACAAACUUUGCCAUCUUGUGCCUCAUAUGCCAGUUCAAGGUUCGACGCUAAUAACCACAACCUACUAAUAAAAGUUACCCAAGAUUAAUCCUCAGAUUUUCUUCACUAUAAAAUUGCAUUGUAAAACUACCCCUCCAUUCUGUAAUAAAUGAUUCCUGAUGUGUAGAAUUAUUACAAUCUUUUACAUUUCAGGAUGUGAACCAUGCAUAAGCAGAGAAGGAUGAUGAUUUGUAUAUCAGGAUCCAAAAAAAGCCUUGGUGACUUUUUCAAACUUAUCAGUACCAUAAUCACGCAUGGUCCUAAUCAUGGUGUUUUUGACGGACGUGCUGGCUUUGUCCUUGAAUACAUAGCCCAGGAUGCCACCAAUCAGGAGGAUGAUGAAGAGCAACAACACUACGAUGAAGUACUGAAAACAUGACAUCAUUGUACACAUCACAUUACAUAAUUCUGUGAAGAGUAAAAAGUGUCUCUCCAAAUUGUUGUCAUAUUUCUAUUCCAAUGCCACUUUAAAUAUCUUUCUAAAUUCUGUCUGCCAUUUUGUCAUUAUGAUCAUUCUUAGAUAUUGCUCUUAUGAACUUAUGAGCUACAUGCCUCCUACAAGCUUCAUAUGAUCUCACAAAUAAAGCAUCUUUAUC